GGUAGGGAGAAAUGGAGCUGUAGAGCAGCCCGCCGCCCCGCGCAUGCGUGAUCUGGGUGUGGCGUCUAGACUGGGUGCUAGGUGUAAGGGGCGUGGCAAGAGGGCGGAUCUCGCGCUGGGGGAACAUAGGUGACUGGAGACAAGAGCUACAGGAUUCAUAUAACAGGAAGAUGUUGCCACCGUCAGGUUUUGCUGGGCUGGUUCCUCCCUCCCACUUCCAAGCUCGGCCCCUUCCAACUCUGCCAAGAAUGGCCCCGACCUGGGCUUCAGACGUUCCCUUGGUCCAAUCUCCGGCCAGCCAAGAUGUCUUAGAGAGACGGCUAGAUGCUCAGAGGUCGACAGUGACCACGUGGGGACAGGAUUUCUGUGGAGAUGGGCAGGGGCUAGGGCGGAGAGGCAGGGACAGAGAUGCCUCUGGAGCCUCCACAUAACCAAUUCAGAUAUGCAGACGCCUCAGACUCCCUGUGCAAUGUACCAAACACUCACGGAAAAAGCCCGCACCAAAAGAGCAGGGUGUAACAGUGAGUGCCUGUAAUCCCAGUUACGCCUGGGAAAGAGUCUUAGAGAAGACAGAUGCCAGCCUGCUGACAUAGUGCAAGGUAGGGAAGUCCCCUGGCAACUGAGAAAUCAGGAAGGGAAGUGGAAGACACCAUCGGGAAACGUCUCUGGAGCUGGGGUUCUCCAGUGCCCUGAGCCAGCAGGCCGAGCUGAUCUCACGGCAGCUCCAAGAGUUGCGGCGGCUGGAGGAGGAAGUCCGGUCCCUACGGGAGACCUCGCUGCAGCAGAAGAUGAGGUUGGAGACUCAGGCCGUGGAGCUGGAUGCUCUGGCAGUGGCAGAGAAGGCCGGCCAAGCUGAGGCCGAGGGCCUGCGCACCGCCUUGGCCGGAGCUGAAAUGGUUCGGAAGAACCUGGAAGAGGCGAAGCACAAGGAGCUGGAGGAGAUUCAGAGCCUGCACCAAGAGCAGCUGUCCUCCCUGACACAGGCUCACCAGAAGGCUCUCGACAGUCUGGCCAGCAAGGCCGAGGGCUUGGAGAAGUCUCUGAAUAGCCUGGAAACGAAACGGGCAGGGGAAGCCAAGCAGCUGGCUAUGGCCCAGAAGGAGGCGGACAUGCUCAGGAACCAGCUGAGCAAGACCCAAGAAGAGCUGGAAGCUCAGGUGACCUUGGUGGAGAGUCUGAGGAAGUAUGUGGGGGAACAAGUUCUUCCUGAGUUUCCUAGCCAGGAAUGGGAGCUGGAACGAAAGGAGCUUCUAGACACCUUGAAGCACUUGAAGGAGGAUCGGGCUGACCUUCAGGCCACCGUGGAGUUACUGCAGGUACGAGUACAGAGCCUCACACACAUGCUCGCCCUGCAGGAAGAGGAGCUGACCAGGAAGAUUCAGCCUUUAGAUCCCUUGGAACCCGAGUUUCCUAAGAAGUGCCGCUCGCUGCUGCGCAACUGGCGGGAGAAGGUAUUUGCCCUCAUGGUGCAGCUCAAAGCCCAGGACCUGCAGCACAGGGACUCCACGUCGCAGCUGAGGAUCCAGGUAGCAGAGCUCCAGGAGCAAGUGACCUCCCAAAGCCAGGAGCAGGCCAUCUUGCAGCGUGCCCUGCAAGACAAAACUGCACAGGUGGAGGUGGAGCGGAUGAGCACCAAGAGCCUGCAGAUGGAGCUGGAUCAGGCUCAGGAGGCCAGGCGGAGGCAGGAACAGCAGAUAGCCUCUGCUGAAGAGCAGUUGAAGUUCGUGGUCGGUGCUAUGAACAGCACUCAGGCCAAACUCCAAAGCACCAUGACCAGGAUGGAUCAGGCUGUAGCCCGGAUUCCCAGCCUCAGCAACCGACUCAGCUAUGCUGUCCGGAAGGUCCACACCAUUAAGGGUUUGAUGGCUCGAAAGGUGGCUCUUGCUCAGUUGCGCGUGGAGAGCUCUCCCCCAUCGGAAGCCGCACCCCCACUGGACACAGACCUGAGCGUUGAGCUGGAACAGCUACGGGAAGAACGGAACCGCCUGGAUGCAGAGCUGCAGCUGAGUGCCCACCUGAUCCAGCAGGAGGUGGGCCGGGCACGGGAGCAAGGGGAGGUCGAGCGCCGACGGUUGAUAGAGGUGGCCCAGCAGCUGGAGCAGGAGCUGCAGCGUGCCCAGGAAUCCCUGGCCAGCGUUGGGCAGCAGUUGGAGGCAGCACGUCGGGGCCAGCAGGAGAGCACGGAGGAAGCUGCCAGCCUCCGUCAGGAGCUGACACAGCAGCAGGAAAUCUACGGGCAAGCCCUGCAAGAGAAGGUGGCCGAGGUGGAAACUCGGCUUCGGGAACAGCUCUCAGACACAAAGAGGAGGCUGAACGAGGCCCGAAGGGAGCAGGCCAAGGCUGGUGAGAUGUGCCAGGAAGAAGGCAGCACUGAGACACAGGGCUGGUAACCCCUCCCCAGCCCACUUACCUUUUUUGGUUUUUUUGUUUUUGUUUUUUUGUUUGUUUGUUUGUUUGUUUUCGAGACAGGGUUUCUCUGUUUCUCCUGGUUGUCCUGGAACUCACUCUGUAGACCAGGCUGGCCUCGAACUCAGAAAUCCUCCUGCCUCUGCCUCCCGAGUGCUGGGAUUAAAGGCGUGCGCCACCACACCCGGCACACCUACCUUUUUUGAAGCUUUUUGUUGACAAGUGUAUGUAGCGAAGUAACGUAGGACUGACAUGAAUGAGUUCUUAUGCAGUGAACACACAGCAGCCAGCACCGGAUCAGGAACAACUCUGGCUCCAGGCCUGCAUCACUGCCCCUCAACGGACGCCACUGCUGUGUCCCCACUUCUGGCGACUGCCCUCCCCAGAAACUUAACACUUGGAUGAGUUAGAGGAGCAGGAUGAAUGUCCAUGUCUUCCCUGAGUAGAACACAGUCAACACCCCUGCUGGCUCGCCUGUGCUCCCAUGGUUACACGAGUAGGCAUUCGAGUUGUGUAAGUUGCAGCAGACAUGAUGGUUUAGCUGCACACCCCACAGCCAGAAAAUUAUCUAAUCGUGAUACCUAGCGUCGUAAGAACAUGAGCCCUAGCCACACAUGGUGGCACUUGCCUGUCACUCCAGCACUUGAAAAUAAGAGGCAGGAUAGAUUAGGGCUAGCCUGGACAACAUAGGGAAACCUGUCUCAAAACAACAUCAACAGGUCACAUGAGCACUAACUAUAGGAGAUGUGACUCCGGCGCCCCUGUCCACAUCUUGCCUAAGGAGCUUGCAUCAGGGAUGGAGAUAGUACUUAGGGCUCAGAGAGCUCAGGAUCCCAUGACAUCAGCCCACCCGUGGUGUGGAAGAGUCCCUGAGAGACAGAGUUGAGAGCUCAAGUCUCAUUUUGGGGCUCUGGGCUAACCCCCUCCCAUCUCCUUAGUGGUUUCCUUGCGCCAGAUCCAGCACAAAGCCACUCAGGAAAAGGAGCGCAACCAGGAGCUCAGGCGCCUGCAGGAUGAAGCCCGGAAGGAAGAGGGUCAGCGGCUGACGAGGCGUGUGCAGGAGCUGGAGAGGGACAAGAACCUGAUGCUGCAGCGCCUGUUAGCAGUGCUUCCCUCGGGAGUGAAUAAGAAGUGCAGCCCCCGGUCUGUGGAGUCCUCAUCCUCUGAGUCUCCGGCAGCUGCUUCGUGCAAGGAAUCUGUGAAAGGCUCCCUGACCGUCCUGCUUGAUAACCUGCAAGGCCUGAGCGAGGCCAUUUCCAGAGAUGAAGAUAUUUGUGUGGAAGAUAACCAGAACACCAAGAAAACCAAGAACCCUCCUUCAGAUCCACUGCUGAGCUAGAGCUGCCAGGGGGAAGAAUGAAGCCAGCCUGAAGCUGGACCCCCAGGAGGGUUGGGUCGGAGGAAAUGGGGUGGGGGCCAGCCUAGCCCUGCCCCCCAGCAAGCCUUGGAACCCCAGCUUCUACCAAAUUCAAACUCUGCAAUGAAUAAAGAUGGCAAUAGUGUUGCCUGGA